AUCACCUGGAGGUCUUGUUUAAAUGCAGAUUCUGAUUCAGUAGGUCUGGGGUGAGGCCUGAGAUCCUGCCUUUCUAACAAGCUCCCAGGUGAGGCCCA
rnacentral:pre_miRNA from 1 species